rnacentral:rRNA from 1 species
CGGACGGGUGAGUAAUGUCUGGGAAACUGCCUGAUGGAGGGGGAUAACUACUGGAAACGGUAGCUAAUACCGCAUGACGUCGCAAGACCAAAGAGGGGGACCUUCGGGCCUCUUGCCAUCGGAUGUGCCCAGAUGGGAUUAGCUAGUAGGUGGGGUAACGGCUCACCUAGGCGACGAUCCCUAGCUGGUCUGAGAGGAUGACCAGCCACACUGGAACUGAGACACGGUCCAG